rnacentral:lncRNA from 1 species
CCUCUCCAAACUGAGCUGCGGGGCGAAGCGCCAGCACAGACACAAACACACACACGUGUGCAACCCUUGACCUUCGCUGGAGGAAGGGAUGAGCCACGAGCUAUAAAUACCCCGUCAGGGCCGAAGGAAAUACCAAGGCAGCACCAACGAGGGGUCUGAGCAGCAGCAGAGCCUUUCAGGAAGAUGGUGGAAGCAGUUAUUAAUAGCUCGGCUGCUCCGGCAUUUCUUCCAGCAGCAGCAGGAGAGCGCUCCCUGUCCUGGGAAGCACUGAGGGGGACCUCCCCUUUCCCAGCUCAGUUGUGCAAGAUGGAGCUGAUUUCCCACCACCCCAGCUCACUACAGAGGGAGGGGAGGUGGUGGAGGAGGCAUCUGCACGACGGAAAAGCACCUCCGGCGCCAACCCUGUGCCAAGCAGAGCCAGGGGCAGCGGGGCCAGGCACAGCCGUGCCACGUCCCAGCCAAGGAGCUGCCAAGAGGAUCGCUUCCACGAAGCCUUUUCGGAGCCCAACCCAAGAAGCACAGUAGCUGAGCUGCUCUGUGGGAGGGGAGGGCCGUGGGAGGGGAGGGGGCCGCGCAGCGUCGCAGCGCAGCGCUGAUGAAUGGAGCCUUUGUGCUCAGUGCUGCAGCGCCGUUUCCACACCAACCUUGGCGCGAUUCAGCACGGGAAGAAAGCAGGGCAAUGCCUCCCCCCUGCCCGGCUCCCUGCCUGCUGCCUUUGUCCCGGCCACCAGCAAGGACUCUGCAUGCAGUUCCACAAAUAGCUCCGGAUUUGGGUCACGGCGUGCGGCUGAAGCGCUGCUCUCCGCACGCGGCCGCAGCCCCGCAGCUCCAUGGGUGUCUGUGUUUGUGCCGAGGUGUCUGGGAGCAAGUGAUUCAUCCCUGCAGUAGGUUCCUGGGAGCAGCAGGCAGCCAGGCAACACUUCCAUGUCCAACUAAUGUUGGUCUCCAAAGAGGAUGAAAUCACCUCUUCCCAGUCCCGCACAGAGGUGAAGCCCCGUAACCAAUAUCUGCCAGGUAAGGAAUGGUUUCCCCAGAUCUACACUGGGGAAACUUCAGGGGGAAAGAGGGAGAUUUUCAGGUGGUGAUCAAGUCCUGUCUGCAAAACUCAGGUCCCACUACUGCAGCCUCCAAGAGCAGCCCAGAGCCGUGCCCAGGGGAGGCUUGCAGCAGGACAGCAGCCGCUGCACUGCCCAGCUGGGAGCACAGGGAGGGUCCUCAGCACCCAUCCUGCGAUACACAGAGUUCCAAAAGCACACUGAUGAGCUCUGCUGGGGUUGGGACACAGCCACAGCACUCACACAUCAGUGCUUUACCUUCAGGUCCGUGUUUAGAAUCCAGAUGAAAGUGCAGACCCGGGGGUUGCUGGGGCACUUCAGUACGAUGAAUCCUCCAGGUCCGUUCUCACCUCUGCAGGGAAACAACAGCACCAAAUCAAGCUGGGAAGGCUGUAGAGCCACUCCCCAGCGCUGUGGUUGCACUGCACCGACCCCACACUGACUCCUGCAGUCACAGCCCCUUGCCUGACUGUGAGGACAGGAGUCCAGCGGGGUGGAAGCAGAUGCUCAGAGUGUCCGGGAAGGAACCUACCUUGACUAUGGGCACACGAGCAAACACCAUUUGCCCAGCAGGUUUCCCACAGCAGCAGCAGGCUGCCUCCAGACCUCUGGCCUGGCCAACGCUGGCACAGCAUUGCAGUAAUGGGUGCAAACAAGUGGGUCUCUGGGAAGCACCCAGGGAGACCACACGAUCAGGCUGAGCUCAGCGCACACCGCUGUGCUUCUGCAGCCCCCAGAUCCUUCCUCACCAUCUGAGCGUCUCAGAGAUGAGAGCUGCGUUUGCACACACAGCCCAAAUACAGAUCUCCCUUCCCUGCUCAGGAACACGCACUAUUUUUGCUGCAUCCAUUUGUUAACGGAUUUUUCUAGGCCCCGAAGUCCCCAGCUCUUAAAUAGACUGAGGCAGCUAUAACGUCUCUGAGUUAAAAUGUCAAUUACUUUAACCAGAUUAUUAGGAAAAACAAAGUCAGUGCGUGAAGUGGCACAGCUGGGCCCCAGGCAGCAGCACAGGCAGUAACAAGGAGCCUUGUGUGAUGAGACCAGCCCUGCUGAGAUCCAUCAGCAGCUGUGCGAAACCAGCCCUGUGGAAAGGGAGAGGCCGGGACCCCACUGGUGCUCUGGGAGCUGUUCCACCCCAGCGCAGCUCAUUUCACCCCCAGGUCCGUCCCUCGGCGCCCGCAGACUUUAAAGUCAGUAAGUGAGUGGCUUACGAGAAGCAAAAGGCAUCCGAGAGGCUCACAGAAAGACGUGGGCAGCUGCUCACUGCCCCUCCGAAAUGGCAGCUGGCCCUGUUUGGGAAUUGGCUGCUACACAAACAGGAUGCAGAAGGGGUUGGGGUUUGGGCUGUUACUGUCGGCACCUCCGCUCCCCAGAGCAGAGCUGGGAAACGCCCGAGCAGCACUCAACAGCACAGAGCGUUUCUUUAACAAAGGAAGAAGAACAAGGGAAGCAAGGUUUGGUUCCACAAAUAGAUGAGCUUCCUGCAAACGGUGCCAGAAAGACAGCAGGGUUCUCAUUUAAGUGGCUCUCUGCCCUAAGCUUAAGCAAAGCUCGUGUCAGAUAUCAGCUAAAAAAAAAUAAUAAUAAUAAUAGAAUCUGCCUCUUACCUGACAUACUUGGAGAGUGGAGGCUUCAGGCUGUGCGUGGUCGACAUCCCUGAGGAAAUGUACCUGUCUCUUCUUCUCUCGAUCCGCCGCACGUUCACAAAAUCCCUGAGCAAAGAAAGGGCAACGACAGCUUUGAAACGUGCGUGAGACUUUGAAGGAGCAGAUCACACGCCUGGGGCUGCUGGGAAAGGCUGCGGCAGAGGACGGUGUUCAGAGGCUCAGGACAAAACAGCCCAAGAAACCGACCUGGGGGAAACGACGCCGCCUGCGGCCCCGGCUGCCACGUCGUACGAAACGAUCGUGUUGUCUUCAACCCUCUGCAAGACCUGGGAGAAAGGAAAGAGAGACCUCUUCAGCCCGCGCCUGCAGGUGCCAACAGCUGGGCACUGCAGCCCCUCACAGCUGGGAGCACACAGAGUACCUUCAGCAGCUGAUUUGGGGGGGGGGGCUCUGUGGCAGCACACGCACAGGUUUGUCUGCCGGCCCACGGCUGCCUCUCCACCUUUCUGGGGGUGGGGGGCACAGGCGUUCCCUUCGGAUCCCUGCCACGCAGGCAGUGCCAAACGGCACCAAGCAGAAGCAGGCUUGGCUCAGGCACUGGCCCAGCUCCCUGCCCACCUCGUGGGCUUUUGGAUGGGCACAGCCACGCAGCUGGCCGCCGCCGAGCAUUCGGAUCGUACGGAUGAGCGGCGGAGAUUUAACGCCUCGGUGACUCUGAUCCAGCUAAGCUCCAGUAGGGCCUGGGCACCGCUGACAGCCGGUGCUGGGCUGGGAAGCUGCAGCUCUCCGCUUCAAGGAGCUCCUGUGAUUAAGCCAUCUUUGUCCGGCACGCUCACCUGGCAAGCUGCCACUGUUCUGUUCCACAGGAUCAUCUUCUCGGGCUGGAGAAUAACCUCCUGGUAAACCGUUUCAGCAGAGCACUGCAGGAAAGCCUGAGAACAGAGAGGGAGCAGUCAGCCAGUCCCCUGCUCCACUGGGGUAAGGUUAUUUCUAAGGAACGCAGAGCAGAUCAGAAAGAACAACAGGGAGGAAGCGGGAGGACGGCGGUGAGACCACAAAGCCAACGUCGUUACCUGCUGCCAAAGAGGGAGAAGGGCACGAAUGGGAUGAGAACUGGGGAUCAGCAGUAGCUGAGCCUGCUGGGAAGGGGCACAAGCAUCCAUCUGCACCAUAGCCACGAAGACAGAAUGAUCUCGGGCCCCUCUGCCCUCAGCCCACCUUCUCAGCAAUUGUGCUGCGUGUGCAAUUGCUUUGGAAAGUCACCAGAAAGAUUCUCAGAACUCCAGCACAGCUAACAUUCAUUUCUCCACGUCCCCGUGGGAUUGGGGACCUUCGGAAGCAAACGGUUAAUGCAGCAGAGCGGGACCAUCCAGCUUUGCCUCACCAACACAGAGCUGCUCCUCCAGCAGCUCUGCCAGCGAGGCAGCAUAUGCACUGGAACAAAGAAAAGCCACCGCAGCACCAAUGCUUCAUUAAAGCGUGGUUUACAGCCAAGCCACUCCAGCGAGAGGGCACAGAGCGUGGCACUUCCGAGCAGCUCUUCUCAAUGCCAGGCAGCAGCAGACGCACGCUCAGCCCUGGUCUUGCUGGCAAUUAGUUGCAAUUAGCCUCCUUGGUCAGAUUAGUCCUAGAUGCUGGGGUUGGAAGCGAGUCUUGCAGUCACCUGCUCCCACUUCCACCAGCAAAGACUGGGGCCCAGCAUAUUUGCCGGGGAGUUUGUCUGCCAGCCAAGGGGUUUUCCUGGAGAGAUUCCCUAAAGCGUGCAGAGCAGUUCAUCUGUCUCAAGCAAAGAGAGUGCUCUGCAGGCUGACCUGUGCUGCCAGGGCCAGGAGAGAGAGUGAAAGCUGAGCCGCGGCUCCAAGCAGAGCAGUGAUUUUGUAUGUAUCACACAGGCUAAGGAAGCAGAACAGGAAGGUUCUUACCUUUAAAAUAAAGGUCUUGCCAUGAAAAGGUAUUUCAAAAGUGUAAACAACGUCACCGAAGUCCUGUGCAAGAAACAAGAAAGUUUCAUUUACGUUGGCAAAAUAACAUUCACUGCUUCUACCCAAGGUAAAGCCUGAUGGUCUCAGGGCACUGCAGGAGGGCUGCAGGAUCUGGCCCACUCCAGCACCAUCCCAUAGGGCCAUUCUUGGCCCCAAACUGCUCCUGCUCCCCCACGCCAGGCAGCAAGCCCCAGAACAGGAACGGCACUGAGCCCACUUCAGAUGCCCAUGCACAAAUUUCCAUAAACAAACCAACAUCCAGAGAAGCAGCAGUGAUGAGACAGGAAAAGAAUCCACCCCGUGCCAGCCUGCAAACUCCGUUUCAAGGUCAAAUUCUCUUUGUAGCAAGCUACCAACACCAGGGUACGAGAGAGGGGUGAGUUUGCCAGCACUGCUGUUGUUACCUACAUCUGAGAAGAGACUCCCUGGAGGGGUUAGGGAUGGACAGAUGAUAACCUUUCAUCAUUAGCCCUGUGUUAAACUCUGAUUAGUCUAUUUAAAUCCAUCCCCCUUUGGAUAAAGAAAACAAUCUGCCCAGCUAGUUUGGCAUCAAACAAUGGAUCACUUGACAGGGGAAUUUUAAAUACCAGAUGAGACUGCAGUUUGCAGGACUCUCACCUCAACUGCAUUGCAAGCCCACAAGUAGAAAACAAGGUUGAUUUUCGGGGGGGAGAAGGGGGGCAGAGGCACUUUCACACCACUCUACAGAGACAAAAAGGAGCCCCAGCUACCCCAGAAAACUUUGCUGUAGCUUGAGGAAAAACACAUGGCAGGGCUCCCUGGUACACACUCCGCUAUCCACAGUGCCCCUGUCCUGAGGAAGGGGAUGUACACACAGCUUUGGGGGUAGGGCUGCAGGAGCUGCCUGUGCCCCACACACUCCUGCUCCAAGAAUGGCUGUAGCCCAACCAGCCAGAGCCUCCCCACACCCUGGUGUGUUCCUAAAAGCACGAUGCUCUGCAGCCCUCACAGCCACCAAAGGUGAGCUGCCCACCCCUGCCAGCCUGCUGUUGAGAUGGAGGAGUGACGGCCUCUCUCCCGUCAAACGGGAAGGCAAUUAAACGUCUAAUUAAAUAAGAGGGGGAUUUUACAUUUAACUGAGCUGGAAUAGAUUCCUAAUUCAAUCAGGUAAUUGUAACGCUUGUUAAUUUUUCAUGUUGCAAGGAGGUUUCAAAAGCCUCAUUUGUCCUCCAGUUUUUGCUAAGCCAUCCGUGCUCUUUGCCAGCGCUGCCCAGCAGUGGGGUGUGGGGGACACUUGCAUUGUUUUUCUCAAACUUCCAGUUCUCCUCCUGGGCGAGGAUUUGGUCCACAACUUCCAUAGCUUCUUUGCCUUGUCGGACAUAUUCUUUCUCCUAGGAGAAAAGGGAAUAUUUCAUCAGCAGGGUUUGCAGAAAGCCCCACAUGUGUGUGUGUGUGUGUCUGUGUGUGUGUGUGUGU